rnacentral:rRNA from 1 species
AUUGAACGCUGGCGGCAGGCUUAACACAUGCAAGUCGAGCGGGGAAAGGUAGCUUGCUACCUGACCUAGCGGCGGACGGGUGAGUAAUGCUUAGGAAUCUGCCUAUUAGUGGGGGACAACAUUCCGAAAGGAAUGCUAAUACCGCAUACGCCCUACGGGGGAAAGCAGGUGAUCUUCGGACCUUGCGCUAAUAGAUGAGCCUAAGUCAGAUUAGCUAGUUGGUGGGGUAAAGGCCUACCAAGGCGACGCUCUGUAGCGGGUCUGAGAGGAUGAUCCGCCACACUGGGACUGAGACACGGCCCAGACUCCUACGGGAGGCAGCAGUGGGGAAUAUUGGACAAUGGGCGAAAGCCUGAUCCAGCCAUGCCGCGUGUGUGAAGAAGGCCUUUUGGUUGUAAAGCACUUUAAGCGAGGAGGAGGCUACUUGGAUUAAUACUCUAGGAUAGUGGACGUUACUCGCAGAAUAAGCACCGGCUAACUCUGUGCCAGCCGCCGCGGUAAUAC